GAGCAGCACCGUCCUCCAGAUGCUACAGGCUUAGCCUGUGCCUUGAAUCCUGGUGGAGGCUAAAGGAGGAGCAGGCUCAGAUGAUGGGGCAGAAAUCCGGGCACCGUAGAUGCAUUGCUGAAAAAGGAACAUGAUGUAUGUAACAAUUAAAUACUCAACAGCCUCAUCAGAACCACAAGACACAAAGGCACUGGCAGGACUCAGAAGAUGGUAGCCUCCCUAGAGCACUUUGAAUAAGUUAUGGUUACCUGGAAAAAGUGGCAGCACAAACUUAAUCUGAAGUCAAGCACAAGAGGAAGUGGUGGGAAGAACAUGGUCCAUGCAGUCCAACGCUUUGCAGACAUGACAAGCUGUGUCCUGUUGGUGUCUUCCCGAAUCCCUCCCUACAUCAGCCAACACAAGGAGAGACAUCUCGAGAUGUGCUCUGGGAUGCAAGAUGCUGCCGCUCUGGAUGCAAAUUUCCCAGAAAUCACGCUCCUCCACUGGAUGUCUUCAACGAUCCUCCCUUCCCAGCCAUCGCUUUGCAGAGGGCAGGUCACAGAACCAGGGCAUAAAACGUCCCCUUCGUGCCCCUGCCUGAUGGCUGGGCUGAGCGUGGCCCCACCAAAGGCAGGAGCUGUGGCUGUGCGCAGGGGAGGCUCCGCAAAGCAGCCCCCUCAUUUUCUCCAGCACUCACAGGGCUCCAGUGAGUGA
rnacentral:lncRNA from 1 species